rnacentral:rRNA from 1 species
UACGUAGGAUGCAAGCGUUGUCCGGAAUUAUUGGGCGUAAAGAGCGCGCAGGCGGUAUGACAAGUCAGAUGUGAAAGAGGCCGGCUUAACCGGCAAGGGUCAUUUGAAACUGUCAAACUAGAGUGCAGCAGAGGAUAGUGGAAUUCCCGGUGUAGUGGUGAAAUGCGUAGAUAGUCGGGAGGAACACCAGUGGCGAAGGCGACUAUCUGGGCUGCAACUGACGCUGAGGCGCGAAGGCUAGGGUAGCAAACAGG